UUCCCCCCCGCCCCCCCGUUCCGAUGGUUCCCACCUGCUGCCGGGUCAGCCCAGCGGAGCCGCUCCUGGAGCCCCGGGCCCGGGGGGGGGGAGCCCUGGGCAGGCUUCCCUCCCCCCCAGCCACGCUGGGUCUGACCCGUGCCCCGGCUGCCCACAGGCCCCCCCUCCUCUCCUCCACUGCCCGCUUCGGGCAGUCACAGGCUAGGGAUCCCCGGAACGUGGGGCCCUGACCCCUUGGCUAGGGGCCAUCGAUGGGCCAAUGGGCCAGGAACGUGCUGCGUUCAGAACGCCCCUGCCCUGCGUGAAGCCAGACCGGGCUGCCUGGGCCUGUCAUCUGGUGACCCUUGUGUCUGUGUUGUGAAUGGGUAAAUAACACGUCCCUGUUCCCGUUCUCCACAGCAGUUGUAUUUGUGUGGUGAGGAACACGUGUAAUCACUCAUAGACAGGGGCAGCAAUGAACUCUUUUUUGUUUUAACCAGGAACAGGAAAACUACAGACAACUGCCUUCUAGCAAGGAGGAAGCUGAACUGAACCUCAAGAAAAUCCGUGUCUCUCUAAAUAACAAUUUAUGGGUACAAACAGAAGCAUUCCAGUGAACUAGGGGCACCAGAACAGGGGAGGUCAGCCAUGAGCGGAUGGGGCAACCAGAACUGCAUGCAGUGUUCAAGAUGAACAAUGCUGAACCAUACAGUUUACCAACACCCCUACCGGAGCGACCUUGGAAGAGACUAGCUGCAGAUUUAUGCAGAUUCAGAAGACAUCAUUACCUGGUCAUCAUGAGCUAUUUUUCCAGGCACCAGUACCAGAUGCUUUAAGGGGAAUGAACAGAACAGGGCAAUUAUCAAGUGAUCUAUUCCCUGCUGUCCAUUCCCAGCAUCUGGCAGUCAGAGGCGUAGGGACACUAGGAGCCACCAUUAUCCGCUAGUGAUGGAGAGGCUGAAAGAGCUGUACAGACAGCCAAGAAAACCCUACAGCAGCAAGAUCCAUUCCUUGUUCUUCUGAGCUACAGAUCAACACCAGUAGCAGCGACUAGAUACAGUCCAGCACAACUCCUGUUGGAGAGACAACUCAGAACUACUGUUCCAACUUAGAUUUUUUUUUUCCAAUCUCCAAGGUGGCCAGACAUGAAGAGAGUAGCUAAAUCAGAUACAAAGGCAAAAAGAUGUUAUGAACAUUUUUACAACAGACAUGACUCAGACAACUGCCAGCUCUAGAACUUGGAAACCAUGUUCAUGUCAAAUUGGAUGGAGAAAAAGGAUGGAUAAACUCCUAAAGACAAAGAAUUCAGCACCCAGAUCAUAUGUAACUGAGGCUGACAGUGGAGAGUUCAACAGAAACCAUCGACAUUUACAGUGUAUUCCUCAGAAAGAAUAAUCAAGAGAGCAAACUCUACAGAUGGUAGGUGCAGAACAAGAUGACUCGGAUUCCAAACCAGCUACAGCCAGUCGUUGCAACUAAUGGACAGCCAGAUGAACAAGUUGUUACAUGUUCAGGUCAUGUAAUUAGAAACCAGUAUGAUUCAGAGACAGUCAACAGACUGAUACAUAUUGAAUUUCAAAGAUAGUGAAAGUGUAAAUAUUGUAAGUGGUAGGAAUGUAGAAUUUAUAGGUGAUGUAAUGCAGUGCUAAAUUUAUUGUACUGUUCAGCCAGUAGGUGGCACUGUGUGUAACAUACAUACCUGAAGAAGUGAGGUUUUUUACCCACGAAAGCUUAUGCCCAAAUAAAUCUGUUAGUCUUUAAGGUG